ensembl:lncRNA
CUGAUGUAAAAAUAAACCACAGUAACAGUAACACAAUAGCUGUCAGUAACACAGGUGUCUGUUAAAGUGAACACUGCUUAUCAAAUAUUCUACUCCUUUGUCAUUUUAGUCCAAGCUUCGGAGCUCCGGGACCUUGCCAUGAGGUCAAAUUCCACUGAAGGCCUAGUUGAGGAACAGCAGACUGCUUUGGGAACACUGGAAUAUGAAACACAGACACUGAAGACAGAAAAUGCAGUUCAAGACCAGGAGCUGGUGACCCUUAAUGAAAGGUCAGAUAUCACUGAGGCUCUGGUGGAUGAGCACAACAUUGUGAUGGAGGAGCUGAAGACUGAGCUGGAUGGACUGGAAAGGGAGAAUGCAGGUACGAGUACUAAAUUCAGUGAGAAUGGAGGUACAAGUACUAGAUUGAGUGAGAAUGCAGGUACGAGUACUAGAUUGAGUGAGGUGGAUUCCUGCAAAAACAUACCAAUGUCAAUAUCAGCACUCUGAGUAUAUGGUAUAAGUUACAGGU